GGAAACAUACGAGGUAAUGGAGAAAUUGUUAAAAUUCAUCAAAUAUGAAGAGCAUGAUUGGAAAAUAUGUGCCGAACUUAAAGUCGUUGGAAUGUUAUGCGGUCUACAAAGUGGCAACACAAAACACUGCUGAUUUCUCUGCAAAUGGGAUAGCCGAGCUCGUAAAGACCACUAUUGCAUUAAGGAUUGGCCGGAAAGAGUUGAAUUUACAAUUGGUGUGGAUAAUAUCAAAUACGUCCCACUUGUAAAGAAGGAAAAAAUCAUUCUUCCGCCAUUGCACAUCAAGCUCGGCCAGAUUAAAAAUUUUGUUAAAGCGUUAGAGAAGGCAAAGCAUUCAAUUAUUUGCAAAAUUUUUUCCCAAAUAUUUCCCAGGCCAAGAUAAAAGAAGGUAUAUUUGAUGGACCUCAAAUAAAAAAGUUGAUAAAUAAUGACCAAUUCAAAGGACUAUUGUCACCAGUUGAGGCAGCAGCGUGGGAUCCCUUCGAAAUGGUCGUUUCUUCUUUUCUCGGUAAACACAAAAGUCCAAACUACGAGAAGAUAGUGCGUGACCUAAUCAAAAAUUAUGCAGAAAUGGGCGUAAAUAUGUCUUUAAAAAUUCAUUUUCUGCAUUCCCAUUUAAGUUUUUUUCCGGCAAAUCUCGGAGACGAAAGUGACGAGCAUGGCAAAUGAAAUUAAUUGAGAAUCGAUACCAAGGUUUCUGGGACGUCGGUAUGAUGGGUGACUACUGUUAGUUUCUCCUAAGAGAAACCGAUCCUAAACUAAAUAAACGACAUAACAAAACACAUAAUCAUUUCGACUAUAAUGUAAGAACAUCAACUUAAGACAAAAAUAACACAUUGUUUUAAUAAAUAUUACUAAUAUAUAAAUAAAUGAGUUUAUAAAAACUAAAAACGACAUGAAAAUUGACUUUUUACUUAACAGAAACAGCGCAUAGCUAGAUAUCCCACCCCUACUUUACACACUACAUACGCAUAUAACUAUAUGCUGACGACCUGUACGUAAAUGACACGUACAGUACGUAAAUUUGGAACCAUGUACCGUGUACCGAAGCUUUAGCGAAAAUCACGAAAAUGUACGUAAAUUGAAACGGAGAAUAUUGAUGUACGUAAUUUGCGUUAAAACAACAAAAAAUUUCUAUACAAUUGUGUCCCACCCGUGACGAUGGAAUGAAUACCCCUAAUGCAAAUUAAAUAUAUUCACCCAGCUUUAACUAUGUUAAACUCGCCAUUAUGGCAACGCCGUUUGUGGAAUGCUUUUAUUGUAUUUGUUCGUGUUAAAGAGAAAUUACAUGUGGUAAAGCUCUUCUUAUUUACAUUUAUUCAUGUAUUUUCUACCAACAAUUUGUGGAACUUAUGCUGACAGGUGAUAUUGGGGAAGCGACGCUAUUGUGUGUGUACGUUGUAUUAUUUUUUUUAAAUGUUGCGAAAACGUGGCAAAAAUAUAUUUAACGAAAAAUUGCGCGAAGAAUUUUCGUUUAUUAAGAAAGCGAAGAUCGAAGGUGAUGUCCUUUGCGAAGUGUGCAACACGGGUUUUAGUAUUAUGCAUAGUGGUCGCCGAGAUAUUGAGUCGCAUAUUAAAUCAAAAAAUCACCAAAAUGCAUUGCACGCUGCCACGUCCAGCCACACACUGAAUAGAUAUUUAAAAAGUUCAACUUUGACCGGAACAGAUGCCCAUAUCGCGGCGUAUGUAGGCGUUUGGGCAUUUCAUGUGAUAAGUUCUAAUCACAGUUUUCGCUCGGCCGAUUGCGCUUCCAAAAUCAUUCGGAGUUGUUUCGCAAUGUCCAAAUUUUCUUGUGCGCGAACGAAAUGCGAAGCCAUCGCAACCGGAGUGUUCGCACCGUUCGUAUUGCAAGAGCUUCGGAAAGACUUAAAUGACUGUCAUUUCUUCACUAUAUUGACGGACGCCUCUAAUCAUGGCAGCACAAAAAUGUUUCCGAUAUUAGUUCUUUUCGGAAAAGGAUGGCGUCAAAGUGAAAAUUAUAGACUUGGUAGAUGCACAUGGAGAAAGUUCCGAAAUAAUUGUAAAUUUGCUGAAUAGUGCUAUGAACAAAUUGAACAUAAAUAAGAAACUAGUUGCGUUUUGUGGAGAUAACGCGGCGUGUAAUUUUGGCAACGUUAAUCGAACCGGCACAAAUAAUGUGUUCUACAAACUGAAGCAGCUUUAUCCUGGAUUGAUUGGCGUUGGAUGUGCAGCGCAUAUUGUUCACAAUACUUUAAAAAAAGCUUGCGACAAAAUGCCUUUUGAUGUGGAGAUCAUUGUAGUCAAAAUUUAUUCACAUUUCUAUUUGUUCACCGUGCGUGUCGCAAAAUUUAAAAAAUUUUGUGAAACCGUGGAUGUGGAAUAUAAAAAACUGAUAGGUUACAGCAAAACUCGUUUCCUAGGCUUGUUGUCAUCAGUCGACUCAAUAUUAAGAAUUUUUGAUGGUCUUAAGGAGUAUUUUUUGGGAGAUCGCAACACCCCAAAUUCUUUGCUACUAUUUUUUGAAGAUCCAAGGGCUAAGAUGUGGCUGCUUUUCCUUCGUGAUCAAGUAAGUAUCGGUUAAUGGGAAUGAAAUGUGUCAGGCACCAAUAACUUUCUUUUUAAUUUCUUAUGUAGGCAUCUAUUUUUAACAGAACAGUAAAAGCAGUGGAAAGCGACAAUAUUAAUGCAAUGGAAGUUAGGCAUGCACUCAAUUCUUUUGUCCAAUCGCUCGAAUCUCGGAAAAAAGAAGCAUUUUUAUCCGCUACAGUGCAAAAGGAAAUGGAACAUAUUUCUGCUGUUGACGAAAGAGUGUCAAAAGAAGAGAUGCAAGAUCUCUCACGUCAAUUCUAUGAAUCAUGUAUAAAAUAUAUUGAUAAGUGGAAAGAACAAUUUGACCAUUUUAUGAUUUUUGCCUAGUGUGCGCUUGAUCAACCACCGCAAUGGAAGUUUAUCGAAACCACCGCGAAGUACAUCGCAACCAAUAUCCAUUUUGAUCUGGAAUCAUCCGAUACUGAUUUAUUCGAUCAGUUCACGUAUUUGGAAAGAUACGUAACCGAAGAGAAAAUCCAAUCGUGGGAAGAAAAUGGCACUGCCACCGAUCAACGCUGGGUUGAAAUUUUUCAACAUUUCGUCAAAAAGAAGGUUCCAUACAACCAAAUGGUCAGAAUCACAUAUUCUCUCCUUGCCAGGCACAUCAGCCACCGUUGAACGAGUAUUUUCUCUGAUCAAUCAGAUUUGGAACGAUGAAAAAUCACAAAUAAAGAUCGAAACAUUGCGAGAUCUUUUAUAUGUUCGAUACAACAUUAAAAUGACUUGUAAGGAAUUUUUUGAAUUUUUAAAAAUGCAACCUAAAAUGUUGAAGGAAAUUGCAUCAAAUGAAAAAUACGCAUUCAAAAAUGCCAAUCAGAUCGACGAAAACAAAAAUAAGUAUGCUGAAAUUUGUAUGCAAAAAACGAGUUUGGAUAUCGAAAAAUAAACUGCUUUCUCCAUAACUUGACCAUAAAUUGAAAUCAAAUUAAAUUAAAUUGCAUUUGCAAGCACCGUUUUUUUUCAUUAAUUAAAAACUGAACAUAAUAUAAACUUAUAGUAAUCUAACUAUGAUUAUAGAAAGAGGCAAGAAAAAAAAAUUUUUGUGUACGUAAAUGAGAUCUUGAAAAGGUGGUCACCCUACGCAUAUACGUAUACAUUGACUUUGCGCGACUUGGAUAUAUUUAUUUGAUCAUGUACAACUUUCCUAUUUAUCCAUGGAUUUUGUUCGUUGGUAGCUUAGUUUUUUAUAAAGAAACAGGACUUCAUAUAAAAAAAAAAAAUUUAAAUAUCUUUUGUUUUAAAAUUUUUCCCAAAAACUUAGUUGUAUAAUCAGCGAAUUGAGAUUUGUUCAAGUGAAUUUUUAAAUUAGAAGCGCGUAAAGUGUUGAAGAUUUUUUAAUAGAUAAUAUAAUAUGUUCAUCAGAGCUGGUGGAAAAUAUUAAUAUGUCAUCUAAGUAGACAAUUCAAAUCUUGUUUAUAUGGUCACUUAAAACAUAAUUAAUAAGCCUCUGAAAUGUUGCAGGUGCUGUUUUGAGACCAAAAGGUAUUCUCGUAAAUUCGAAAUGACCAUCAGCUGUUGAAAACGCCGUCUUUGCUCUAUCAUUAGGGUGUACCUCAAUCUGGUGAAAGCCUUUCGACUAUUACUGGGUACGAUUAUUUCUUGCGCUAACCUUUCUUUUAUCUGUCGAUCUACCUCCGCGCGAUGUACCACCGGAUAUUUAUAAAAUCUCUUCUCCUUCAUUAAAUUAAAUAGGCAUUGUUGUAUCGUCUGUUAAUUGUUUUUUUUUUUAUAAUCAAUUAUUGAAUUUAAAUCUAAUAAAAUAUUAUUCCCUAUGAUACCGUCGAAAUAGUUGUGAAAUGGAUAUUCUAUAAAAUUCACAAAAUAGUUAUUUUUAUUAAAUUCCUUAAAAAGUGGAAAACUAUACUGGUUUCUUGUUAAAAUAUUUCUGCCUAAUACUUUUAAUGAUCGUAUAUGAUCGUACAAACGUAAUGCAUACCUAAGAAUUUAUUAUACCAACUUUCAUUCCCGUGUCUACAAUAAAUCUAAGUUUCCUUAUAUGUGUAUUGACAAUUAUAUAGGGUAAAAUUUAAAAUCAACGGGAAAAGAUUUGAAGAAUUUCCAUUACCGUCAUAUGGCGGAAUACUACUAAGAUUACUUAAUAUAAGCUUAAAUUUAGCAUUAAUAUGUAAGUUUUUCAUUUUAAUUGUUGAUUUGUUAAACAAUCAAAGGUAUCGUGCGUGUGCGGUGUUGUUGCAAUAUUUCAAUUACAGCAGCUGUUAAUAGAUGUUGAACGAAUGCGAUUUGUUGUUGUUGUUGAAAAAUUGUUUUUAUAAAUACCUGUUCAAUGAACCUUACUGACUUCCUGCACUGGUUUUACAAUCCAAAGUCACGUUUUGUCUUAAGUACAAUGAAGAUGUUGCUGUUUUUUCCCUUGAAAGCUCGACGAAGGAGUUACUGUUGCUUGCUUUUUUUUAGGUGAUCUUCCUGUCAUUCACCCAGGAAAAAUUGUUGUUAUUCUUUUUUGAAGGUGACCUUCUUGUCACUCACCCUGGAUCAAAUUUUGUUGUUUUCUAAAGCACGGCGAAGAAGAUGUUGCGUUUUUCCCAAAGCUCGAUAAAGCUUUAAAUCACGGUAAUUGAACCGGAAAAAGUCCGAAGAUGUUGUUUUUUUUUUAAGCCGACGAAGUAUUUGUAGUUGUAUGCACAAUUGGCCUUCAAAUGACCUUAUAGGCAGUUGCAAAAAAUGUUUAUAAUUUAUAAUAGAUUAUUAACUUUUUCGUGAAAAAUCAUCACACUUCUUUUAAUUAGUGUGUUUUGUUUUUUAGUACUUUCUGCACUUUAAAUCACGUUUUUUAGUAAUAUUAAAUUACUUUACGUAAAAAUUUAAACUUUUUAGUUCGCGACCGACUGCGCCAAUAAGAAUACGUCCGUUCUUUUCAAAUGUAACUUUAUAAAUGAUGCAUAUUUACAAUUCUUAGAACUAAGAGUAGAUUACAAUGAGCUUAAAACUAGUGAGAGUAAACAUGUGUAUUGUUGUUGUUUACAGAGAAAGUCCUUAUUGGAAAGAUCAGUUUGCAAGUGAGUAAAUAACGAAAUGGAAGGAAUACAUAUGAGAGGAUAAAUAGUAGAGGUAAAGAAAGAUUGCAAUUAUAAAUGUAUGUUGUUAGUAGUAGGAGCAUUGGUAUAUGACUAUAUGUUUAAAAUGAUGUAUAUUAUAAAGACAUGAUAUAGCUUUCUCUAACUCUAACACCCUUCCAAUUCUUCGAUAACAAUUUCGGUGUCUUGUGAAUAUUCUAAAACUUCAUCGAAGCCAAGGUCUGCAGCCACACCAUGCUUCAGUCAAAGGAUCUCUCAAAACAAAAUAAAACAGUUCCUCUAUGCUAGUUAUAACACUCAAAUAUUUACAUAUUUGUUUUCAAACAUUGAUGUAAAACAAAACAAACACAGAUGUUUUUGUGUUGUGAUGGCUGCUUUCACACGUCACAGAUGUUUGAGGAAAUUGUGAGCAUUUCAGCUUUUGAAUUUUGCCCAGCAUAAGGUAAUCAUCACAAAAUUCAAAAACUUCACAAUAUUGAGUGUGGUGAUUUUUGUGAGGGCAUGAUAAUAGGGCUGUAAGUUGUAAAAUUUCCACAUAUCGUUCGAUUCGUUUGACUGUCAUUUUAUAUGACCGUGCGUUGCCAAAUAUGCCGGAUAUCAUACACAUAACUAUAUCGAUUAGUUAGAAAAUUGAUUCAAAAAACUCUCUCUUUGGUUUUUUCUCGACAGUUUAUCAAACAAUUAAUCACAUAUGCCCCUCCAUACCUAGAUCAUGUAUUCCGAAUUUUAUAACUUAAAUUGUAGCUUUGUUAUAUCCCUUAUUGUGUAACUACUUCUCAUAGUAUCAAGGUAUAAGUUUGAUCUAAGUUAUAUUAGGAUAUCCAGAUUAUAUUAUCGCUUGACCAAAUUGCCGACCGGACAGACGGAUGUUAAGCUGUGACCACGUCCACUUACCUAAUGUCUUAACUUAUAUUUUAUUUUUUGCAUUUGUCCGGUUUUGACUAUCUACAAUACAAUCUCAUAUCGAUAAUUGUAACGCGCAUGCAGUUUUAUUAAGAUAUCUGGAUUUCAAUUCAAAUUGUCGCUUGACUGAAUGGCCGCAUGGACAUUGUGACUAAAAUUUUAAAAUUUUUGAUACAGUGAAACUUCCAAAACUCGAUCUUUAGAAUUGGUAAUAGCGUUUAGAAAGCAAAUUUCAUACAAAUUUACUUCCAUAACUCAAACUUUCUUAACUCGAAGGUCUCCAUAACUCGAAUUCUUGAAUUGGUAAUAGAAACAAAUUGUAUACAAAUUUCAUUCCAUAAAUCGAACUUUAAGAAAGGCAUGAGAUACAGACGUCAAGAGCCAAGCAAUAGCAAAGUGCUGCAAACAAAAUUACAGAAAACAUGUUUUAAUGUAUUUACAUAAAACUUUUUGCGAAGUAAAUAACUAAAAAUGUGUAUAAAUCUAUGAUUUAUAAAAUUAUGUUUUAAUGAAAUUUCUAUAACUCGGAGUCAAUCUAACUCGAAGUUUUUUUGUGGAUUAUGGUGAUUCGAAUUAGAGAAGUUCCACUGUAUUUUAAAUAAAAUUAGCAACAUAUCAAGAAGUUUGAAAAGUACAUAUGUAUAUUAGCAGUAAAUACAGAGAAAUUGAAAUAAUCGCCAGCAUCCCUUCAAUCCCAAUGAAAAAAGCAAGCAUUCCAUUUGUUAAUUUCACAAGAACAAUUUUCGUAGAUGAAGAGAUCUUCAUGUACUCACAUGCAUUUCGCUAAAUGCAUGUAGCUAAACUGCAUUUCGCAGUAGCGGUAUUCGUCAAUGAAGUUUUGAGUAUUCUAAGAGAAGAGAAAAUCUUUGCCUACAAUUGUGCUUGUGCGCAGUAUCCAAAGAGAAGUUACUAAUGUAUAACAUUUCUCUUUUGCAAGCUCUUAGCUACAUAUAAAACACAUAUCUACAUAUGUAUUCUGAGAUAUGCAAUCUACAUACAUAUGUAUUCUGAGCUAUGCAUUCAAACACCAUGGCAUUCGUUCACUAAGCUACUUAGUGCAUUUGUGAGAUGUGACACUUCGCGCGUCUCAUUUAUAUAACUGUGCUAUCUUUUCAAUUUUUAAAAUUCGUAAUUUCAACUUAACGGUUGUUUGCCGUUAAGUAAAAACCAUAAAGUGUUAUAAUUAGGCCACAAAUUAAAUUAUUUCUAAACAAAAUUUAGAAACCAAUUGCAGCAGUUACAUAUGUAUGCAUAUCACCAAAUUCGUUUAUAUGCAAGAUGUUCUAAACAUUUUAUUAAUUAUCUCUAUGAAUAACUGAUCCGAAUUUCUAGAUAUGAUUCGAAUAUUCAACUAAUUGUCGAUGGUACAUCCGUAUACAUUUCUUUACUUACAAUAUUUAAUCGCACGCUGAUAUAUUUUUAUAAAUAAUCAAUAGAUACGAUAUAUAGAACCAGAGGUGUGAAUUAUAUAUAAACUUAAUAUUUAUCUAGUACAUAGGGUAAAGAUUUCACCAUACUGAGAUAUACUCUCGCAACAUGUUGCAAAGAUAGUAAUAUAAUUUUGUUCACAAAACGGUUGUUUGACUGAACUGAAAAUACAUACACUGACUCACAUUGUAAAUGGGACACCCCAAAAAUAUUAUUUUUUUAAACUUUGAAUAUAAAUGGAAAACAAAGUAUGCAAGUUUUUUCUAUAAUUCUUUUUUAUUUCAAAUAAGACAUCUAUUUUUAUUGAAAUGGAGAAAAAACAACCAAAGAUUAUGCUUUAACAACAACAAAAAGAACAUAUGUAUGUAUUUAUGUACAUACAUUUAUUGCGCGUUCAAGCAACUCACACUUGAAAUGAUACAGUUUAGCGUCGCGCCAUAGUACCGUUAUUUUGUCGUAAAACUGAACUAUAAAGUGCUGAACACAAAGACGACGACACGACACGACGUAGCGACGGCUGAUCACAAAUGUCGCUUUGAAGCCAGCGUCUUGAAAAUUUUGAAACAGCAAUUUCAUUGUUGCCGUACUUUCACUUCAAUAAAAUUUACAUAUUUAGAUUGAAGUGAAAUUAUUUGUGCAAAAAAUGUAAAAAUUGGCGAUUUAUUUGUUUUAAAUAAUCGAUUGUUAUUAUAAAUGUUAUAUCAAAGCUAUUUUACGUUUCUGCUGGCAAAAUUACGUCAUAUUUGUUAUGACUUUUAACUUUACAGCUGCCCAUUGUCGUCGCCAAAAUUAGAAACAUUUUUAAUUUAGCGACAACGAAAACUACAAGACUGUUGUCGCGUAGUCGUGCUGUUGUCAAAAAAUCUGUGCCCAUAAGAACCCGUGUGUUUUAAUAUUUGACAGAUGUCGCUCGUCGUUUGUCGUCUUCUAUGUGUUCAGCACAUAAGUGAUAAUGCUUUUAGUAGUUUCUUAGCUGGCAACAGAAUAAGAUUAUCAGUGACUAAAAGUAAAAAAAUGCCUCGCACUACGAUAGCAAAAAGGAAAAUUAUUGUUAAUAAUUACAAAAACAAUAAAUCUAUAAGGAAAAUCGCUGAAAUUGUAGGCAAAAAUAAAUCUACUGUAUUUAACAUUAUUCAGGGCUUUAAAAAACCCGUACAUUAUAUAAUAAAGUACCUGACCGAUGUACAAAACCCGUACAUUAUAUAAUAAAGUACCUGACCGAUGUACAAAACGAAAAAUUGACGACGGUUUUUGUUGCGUAUAAUUAAAAAUAACCCAUAUACAUAUGUCUGUUGUAGAGUUACAAAAACAGCUAAACGAAGAAAAGAAAGUUGAAGUAAGUGCAGAAACGGUUCGUAGAUUGCUUAAACAAAAUAAACUUAUCGCCAGAAUACCUCGUCGAAAACCACUGAUAUCACCAAAAAACCAAAAAGAAAGAAUGGAAUUUGCUCUGAGAUAUCAAUAUAAGGACUAUUAUUUUUGACGUAAGGUAAAUAAUUUUUAAAGCUUGAUUAAUGAAAUUUUGUGUGAAUUUCAAUUAUUUUAGGUUCUUUUCACUUACGAAACCAAAAUUAACAUCUUUGGAUCGGACGGCAAACGUUUCGUAUGGAGAAUGUCCGGUAAAUAAUUGGACGACAAAAACAUAAAAAUACAGUGAGGUUCGGGAGUGGGUCACUGAUGAUUUGGAGUUGUAUGUCGGGGGAUGGAGUCGGAAAACUGCAUUUUGUAGACGAAAUGUUAGAUGGUAAAGGAUAUAUAGACAUUUUGAAAGCAAAUGUUCAGCGCGAAACAACUUGGUAUUCGUGAUUGUUUUAUGUUUUACCAAGACAACGACCCAAAACAUAAAUCCUGGAAUGCUAGAAAUUGGUUGCUCUAUAAUUGCCCAAGAGUACUUUCUACACCUGCUCAAACCCCCACAUUAAUCCCAUAGAGCAUUUAUGGGCAGAACUUAAAAGAAGACUGUCUAAAAGAAAAAUUAAAACAAAAUCAGAGUUAAGGAAAGCAGUGAAAGAAGAAUAGAGCCAAAAAUUGUGGAAAGUAUGCCACGUCGGCUCCAUGAGAUCUUAAAUAAGAAAGGAAAAUCUACAAGAUAUUGAACUCCAGCAAACUUAUUUUUUUCUUCACUCUACAAACUGUUCCAUUUCAAGUGUGAGUUGCAUUGGACGCGCAAUAAAUGUAAAUAUGUUCUUUUUGUUGUUGUUAUAGCAAAACCUCUGGUUGUUUUUUUAUUUUCAAUAAAAAAUAGAUGUCUUAUUUAAAAUAAAAAAGAAUUUUUGAAAAAAGUUGCGUACUUUGUUAUACUCUCGCAACCUGUUGCACAGAGUAUAAUAGUUUUGUUCACAUAACGGUUGUUUGUGUCACCAAGAAAUAUAAGAGUUAGAUAUGGGGUUAUAUAUACAUAAAUGAUCAGGAUGACGAGUGGAUUUGAAAUCCGGAUGUCUGUCCGUCUGUCCGUCUGUCCGUGCAAGCGAUAACUUGAGUAAAAAUUAAGAUAUCUUAAUGAAACUUGGAACACAUGUUCCUUGGCACUCUGAGGAGGUUGCUUUCGAAAAUGGGCCCACAAAAUGGCAGAAACCGAAAACCUAUACAGUGUCAUAACUAAGCCAAAAAUAAAGUUAUGAAAAUGAAAUUUUGAACAUAGGAUCCCAUUAGGGAGGGGCACAUUUGGAUGUAAUUUUUUUGGGGAGGUGGGCGUGGUCCCGUCCUCAAAUUGGUUUUUGGUACAUAUCUCGGAAACCAAUAGAGCUAUAUAAACCAGACUUUCUGCAGUCGUUCUGUUUAGCCACUUCUUAGUACAGUAUAAAAAUGAAAGAAAUCGGAUAAUAACCACGCCCACCUCCCAUACAAAGGUUAGGUUGAAAAUUACUAAAAGUGGGUUAACUCACUAACGAAAAACAUGAGAAAUACUAAAUUUCACAUAAGAAAUGGCAGAUGGAAGCUGCACUCAGAUUUUUUUACAAAAUGGAAAAUGGGCGUGGCGUCGCCCACUUAUGGAUCAAAAACCAUAUCUCAGGAACUACUCGACCGAUUUCAAUGAAACUUGGUUUGUAAUAGUUUCCUUACAUCUCAAUGAUAGGUUGUGAAAAUAGGCCAAAUCGGUUCACAACCACGCCUACUUCCUAUAUACCUGAAC